GAUGAAGAACGCAGCGAAAUGCGAUAAGUAAUGUGAAUUGCAGAAUUCCGUGAAUCAUCGAAUCUUUGAACGCACAUUGCGCCCCCUGGCAUUCUGGGGGGCAUGCCUGUCCGAGCGUCAUUUCUGCCCUCCAGCCCGGCUGGGUGUUGGGCGCUGUCCCCCCGGGGACACGCCCCAAAGGCAGUGGCGGCGCCGCGUCGGGUCCUCGAGCGUAUGGGGCUUUGUCACCCGCUCGGGACGGACUCGUCGGCGCUGGUCUUCCUCCAGGCGACCCUUCGGGGCUCGUCUUCCUUCGGUUGACCUCGGAUCAGGUAGGGUUACCCGCUGAACUUAAGCAUAUCAAUAAGCGGAGGA
rnacentral:misc_RNA from 1 species